AUGAAGAGUUGACCGGAGAGAUUAUCUUUUUAAUAAAAUAUUCAAACUUUACCUUUUAGUAAAAAGGCUAAAAUUAACCUUAAAGACAAGAAGACCCUGUAAAACUUCACACCCAAGAUUAUUAAUAGUAAUUUAUGUGUUCUGCUGGGGCGGCCAGGAAAGUAAACAUUCCUAAAUUUUCAUAAUUUAAUUUAAAAUACCUAGAAUUUCUAAAAAUGAACUAAGCUACUUCAGGGAUAACAGCGUUAUAUAUUUUGAAAGUCCUUAUUGACAAAUAUGUUUGCGACCUCGAUGUUGGAUUAAGGUAUCUUUUUUCUGCAAAAGGAUAAAAAGAAGGUCUGUUCGACCUUUAAUUCCUUCCA
rnacentral:rRNA from 1 species